GUGAAUCAUCGAGUCUUUGAACGCACAUUGCACCCUCUGGUAUUCCGGAGGGUAUGCCUGUUUGAGUGUCAUUAAUCUCUCAACACAGACAGGUUUUGUUACCUGUUCUGUUGUUUGGAUUUUGUAAGGCUUUGCUGGCAGUCUGACUGUCAGCUCCUUUUAAAUGCAUUAGCAGAAAUCAUGCAGAACUGGCUUCAGUUUGAUAAAGAUUUUAUCUAUGUUGCUGUCGCCAGGAUAAUGCUAGUAUUUUUCAGCUUCUAAUAGUCCUUUUCGGGACUGUCUCACUUGAGGCAUACAAACUUGACACUUGACCUCAAAUCAGGUAGGACUACCCGCUGAACUUAAGCAUAUCAAUAAGGCGAGG
rnacentral:rRNA from 1 species